AUUGAACGCUAGCGGGAUGCUUUACACAUGCAAGUCGAACGAGUGGCGGACGGGUGAGUAAUAUAGGGGAACGUGCCCAGUAGCGGGGGAUAACUACUCGAAAGAGUGGCUAAUAACACAUACUAUGGGAGCGGCCGAUAACGGAUUAGCGAGUUGGUGGGGUAAAGGCUCACCAAGGACACGAUCCGUAGCUGGUUGGAGAGGACGACCAGCCACACUGGGACUGAGACACGGCCCAGACUCCUACGGUAGGCAGCAGGGGGGAAUUUUGGACAAUGGGGGAAACCCUGAUCCAGCCAUCCCGCGUUUAUGAGAAGGCCUUCGGGUUUGAAAGUACUUUUGGCAGAGAAGCGGUAUCUGCAGAAUAAGCACCGGCUAACUACGUGCCAGCAGCCGCGGUAAUAC
rnacentral:rRNA from 1 species